AGCGGCGGACGGGUGAGUAACGCGUGGGCAACCUGCCUUACACAGGGGGAUAACAGUUAGAAAUGACUGCUAAUACCGCAUAAGACCACAGUACUGCAUGGUACAGUGGUAAAAACUCCGGUGGUGUAAGAUGGGCCCGCGUCUGAUUAGGUAGUUGGCGGGGUAACGGCCCACCAAGCCGACGAUCAGUAGCCGACCUGAGAGGGUGACCGGCCACAUUGGGACUGAGACACGGCCCAGACUCCUACGGGAGGCAGCAG
rnacentral:rRNA from 1 species